GAAUCUAAUUCUCAGCCCAUCUGGCAGGCGUAAUGAAGGCGGGUCGGGCUUGAGAUGCCCUGCUGCCUUGGCUCGACGGAGCAGGAGGUUAGCUGACAGAUUGGGCCAGGAUGAGUGGAGGGGAGUCGCGGAACCUGCUGACCUUUCAGCCUUUGCCCUGCAGUUCCCCGUAGCUCCUCUGACCCAGCACCCUGAGCCCUCCUUCAAAACCAUCGUACUGUAAAGCCCGGAGCACUUGCAGAUAAGCAGCCCCCAGAAAUCAAGCGGACCCUGCAGCCGAGCAGAUUGAGUGUCAGAGCUCAGUACCCAGGAGGUGCCUGGAGGCUACAAACACUGCAGAUAGCACCAUCAGAUAGCCGGCGAGGGGGAGCCAGACAACAUGAAACUUCCUGGCCUCGUUACUAGACUUUGCUUUGCUUGCACAAUCGCCCCCCACCCACUCCCUCCUCCCACACCACUACCUCCGAGCCAUGCUGCACCUCUCUCACUCCGAAUCCCUCCCCUUCGCCUUUCAGAUAAAGAGAAGGCCCCGUUCCCUUCCGACUUAAACUGACAGCUCGAGCCAAAGGGCUCUGCCAGCUUUUUUUUUGGAGGUCUUGUUUGUUUUCAUCCUUCUGUGAGUGUGCUGAUGCCGGGGAGCAGGAAUGUGACAUGUUCUAUUAAAACAACAUAAAAAAAAGAAAGAAAGAAA